CAACGAUCAGCUGCUGCAUGCCCCGAGGCGUGCAGUCCACAGAUCAAACGCGAGUGGCCUGCGCCCGCAGGUUGAGAUAUGACCGUAGCAGCUCUGCGAAGAGUCUGACACCCUAGUUCCGUAGGUGAACCUGCGGAAGGAUCAUUA
rnacentral:rRNA from 1 species